CGGCGUGCCUAACACAUGCAAGUCGAACGGAGAUUACGCGCUGAUGAAGCUUCGGCAGAAUCUUGUGUAAUCUUAGUGGCGGACGGGUGAGUAACGCGUGGGCAACCUGCCUCAUACUGGGGGAUAGCAGUUGGAAACGACUGAUAAUACCGCAUAAGCGCACAGCAUCGCAUGAUGCAGUGUAGAAAAACUCCGGUGGUAUGAGAUCGGGCCCGCGUCAGAUUAGCUAGUUGGUAAGGUAACGGCUUACCAAGGCGACGAUCUGUAGCCGGACUGAGAGGUCGGACGGCCACAUUGGGACUGAGACACGGCCCAAACUCCUACGGGAGGCAGCAGUGGGGGAUAUUGCACAAUGGAGGAAACUCUGAUGCAGCGACGCCGCGUGAAGUGAAGAAGUAUUUCGGUAUGUAAAGCUCUAUCAGCAGGGAAGAAAGACUCGCAAGAGAGAUGACGGUACCUGACUAAGAAGCCCCGGCUAACUACGUGCCAGCCGCAGC
rnacentral:rRNA from 1 species